GACAUAGGUGGCGAACGUUAUCCGGAUUUAUUGGGCGUAAAGGGUGCGUAGAUGUUAUUAUAAGUUAUUAGUAGAAAAUAGAAGCUCAACUUCUGGCAGCUAAUAAUACUAUAAUAAUUGAGGGCAGAGGAGGUUGACGGAAUUCUGUGUGGAGCGGUGAAAUGCUUAGAUAUACAGAGGAACACCGAAAUAGGCGAAGGCAGUUAACUAUUCUGUUCCUGACAUUGAGGCAUGAAAGCGUGGGGAGCAAAACGG
rnacentral:rRNA from 1 species